UUCAGUACCUCAUCAAACCAAACAUUCUUCUUCUCCCUCAUCGAACCUGACGCACCCACAACCCCCUCUCUUCUCCCGUGAUCCCAAUCCCUAAUUCCUGCGACCCACCAAUCCCUUUCUUCUACAGCGACUGCGAUCGUCGUCCUCCGUUAUGGACGAUGGCGAUGAUUGCGACCUAUCAUCAUCAAUUCGGACAGUCCCUCUCACCAUUUGAUCGAUGAUGUUUGUGCCUUGUGGUGACGAGCAAGAUCCUGAAGCCACAAUUUCUGCCAUUAAUUAAUUUGGAUCUCCAUAGUGGUAACAAUCAGUGCGUGAAGAAGAACAGAGCAUGAAUCUCUUUUUUAUAAAAGUAAAUCGUAUGAGUUCAGUUAGUGGGUGAUAGCUUUUUGUGAAAGAAUUUGCAAUGGUUUUGCUGGUCUGGAACUGUCAGUACCCAAGUACUAUCCUUGAUAAAUUUAGGCAAACCCGAAUUCACUUGAGUAAGCCCGAACCCAAUUUAAACCCGAAACCGAAUAAACAACAACAAUGGAAGAAGAGGCAAAGCCAGCCGUGUCCACAGCCACCCAAGUCCUCCCAUCCCCUCUGAGCUCCGCCGAAGUUCUCCCUGUAUAGCCUCCGCCGUUUUCUCUUCCUACCUCUUGAAAAUGAUGCCCUUUUCUCCAUCUCAUCCACUCUCUAAAAGGUUCGCGCCGUCCUCAUUUUCUCGAGUUGUCGAGGAUAUGCAGGGAGAGCAAGUAAAAAGAUUGUAUUCACUGUGUUGACGCAUUAUUGAACAAGAGACCCAAAGGGAAGGACAUAUUCAAUCUCAAGGAUGCGAAUCAUUGCUUCUUUAGAAAAGAUUAAGGAAGUGACGACACAAAAGCUCCAUAGAAAAGGUAUCAGCUUUUGACUCAAAUUUCAACGGUGUCCUAUCAUCUCUCCCAAAAUCAAAGCAACCCCAAGCAAUUCCGGAAUCAUUUUUUUGUGUCCCAAAAUACACAAAGGAAAUAUCAGACACGACUCUUACUCCAAAGGCUCCAACCAGAAAUGUAUCAGAUUCCCCAAUCAUUUCUGAAACCAUAUAUAUGGCUGCAAAACAGACAUCGCGCGGACCUCUCUUACUAGUAUGGUACUAUUAUCUGGACAUGGGACUAGGACAUCAACUUAAAACAGUUGCAGUGUGUCAAGUGUGCAUGCAGGCCCAAAUGCAAACCAGACCAAGGUAAGCCAUCUUCCCAAACCCAGGCCCCUCCCAAAAUCCUUGUUUCGAUUCGAAGGAGGAUGAGAAACCGGCCAGUCCAGCGGCAGAAUUGAUGACAAAAAGCAGGGUCAACCAACGGGAUUGGGGAUUGUGGGUUAGGGUUCUUUUUGGGGAUUGGGUGAGAGAGAUUUUCGGAGAAAGGUGCAAAUGAUGACUAAGUUGGAGGAAAUAACUCAUUUAUAUACGAGGGCAAUUAAAUCAUUUCAACAUGUAAGAAAAAUCAUAUUUCUGUCCUAUUGUUUGUUGUGUAUGGCAUGCGCAUAUUCAGUUUGUCCUA